UACAGAGGGGGCAAGCGUUGUUCGGAAUUACUGGGCGUAAAGCGUGUGUAGGCGGUUUGCUAAGUCGGGUGUGAAAGCCCCGGGCUCAACCCGGGAAGUGCACUCGAAACUGGCAGGCUAGAGUACUGGAGAGGUUGGUGGAAUUCUCGGUGUAGAGGUGAAAUUCGUAGAUAUCGAGAGGAACACCGGUGGCGAAGGCGGCCAACUGGACAGAUACUGACGCUGAGACACGAAAGCGUGGGGAGCAAACAGGAUUAGAUACCCUCGUAGUCC
rnacentral:rRNA from 1 species